GCCUUCGUGGUGUAAUGGUCAGCACACUCGGCGCGUAUUCGAGAGGUCCAAGGUUCAAGUCCUGAGGAGGGCA
rnacentral:tRNA from 1 species